ACGAACGCUGGCGGCAGGCCUAACACAUGCAAGUCGAACGCCCCGCAAGGGGAGUGGCAGACGGGUGAGUAACACGUGGGAACCUUCCCUAUAGUACGGAAUAGCCCAGGGAAACUUGGAGUAAUACCGUAUACGCCCGAAAGGGGAAAGAAUUUCGCUAUAGGAUGGGCCCGCGUAGGAUUAGCUAGUUGGUGAGGUAAUGGCUCACCAAGGCGACGAUCCUUAGCUGGUUUGAGAGAACGACCAGCCACACUGGGACUGAGACACGGCCCAGACUCCUACGGGAGGCAGCAGUGGGGAAUAUUGGACAAUGGGCGCAAGCCUGAUCCAGCCAUGCCGCGUGAGUGAUGAAGGCCUUAGGGUUGUAAAGCUCUUUUGGCGGGGACGAUAAUGACGGUACCCGCAGAAUAAGUCCCGGCUAACUUCGUG
rnacentral:rRNA from 1 species